CUUAUCCAUUUUUAUCUAAAUAUACUACACUAGAUUAGUCCAUCUGUAUGUUUUAUAUUUUUUUAUACAAACUCCCGGACUGACUCCCAGACAUGAGACCAAUGGGAAUGCUCAAGAAUCCAGAAGCGGGGAUUGUACUGCUCAUGCUGAUACAAGUGGAGCUUGUAAUACUGUAAAGCAUUACUGUAACCGCGGCUGGUUCCCUUAUUUACCACUAUAAUGUCUUAAAGCAUAAAACUUAGUAGGGCUAACC